rnacentral:lncRNA from 1 species
AUGGACCUUGACACUGUUAUUUACUUGGCAAUCUGGGACAGUCACAGGCCUCCCGAGGAGGAAAGGAGAGUCCGAGCCAACGAUAGAGAUUACAAUGAGAAGUUCCAGUAUGCUAGCAACUGCAUCAUGACCUCAAAGUACAACAUCAUUACCUUCCUUGCAGUCAACCUGUUUGAGCAGUUCCAGGAAGAAGUUGCCAAUACCUACUUCCUGUUUCUCCUCAUACUGCAGUUGAUUCCACAGAUUUCCUCAUUAUCCUGGUUCACCACCAUUGUGCCUUUAGUGCUGGUGCUGAGCAUCACUGCAGUCAAAGAUGCCACCGAUGACUAUUUUCGUCACAAGAGUGACAACCAGGUGAAUAACCGUCAGUCUCAGGUACUCAUCGGUGGCAUUCUUCAGAAGGAGAAAUGGAUGAAUGUCAGAGUGGGUGACAUCAUCAAACUGGAGAACAAUCAGUUUGUGGCAGCUGACCUGCUCCUGUUGUCCAGCAGUGAACCACAUGGCCUCUGCUACAUUGAAACUGCAGAACUAGAUGGCGAGACGAACAUGAAGGUGCGUCAGUCUCUGUCUGUUACCUCAGAGCUGGGAGAUCCUAAUAACCUGGCCCAGUUUGAUGGAGAAGUGGUGUGUGAGCCUCCCAACAACAAGCUUGACCGUUUCUGUGGGACUCUGUAUUGGAAAGACUGCAAAUACCCCCUCAGCAACCAGAACAUGCUGCUUCGCGGCUGCGUACUGCGCAACACAGAGAGCUGCUAUGGCCUUGUAUUUUCGCAGGUUGGUCCUGACACCAAACUGAUGCAGAACAGCGGACGGACUAAGUUCAAGCGCACCAGUAUAGACAGACUGAUGAAUACACUGGUGCUGAUUUUUGGGUUCCUGGUGUGUAUGGGAGUGAUCUUGGCCAUAGGAAAUGCAGUUUGGGAAAAAGAAGUGGGUGCUCUGUUCCAGAGCUUUCUUCCUUGGGACCCUCCAGUGGACAACUUCCUGUUCUCUGCCUUCCUGUCUUUCUGGUCCUAUGUCAUCAUCCUCAACACAGUCGUACCCAUCUCCCUCUAUAUAAUCUGUUAUCCUCAGAGGGUCCAGGCCCUGGACUUCAGUGCGUGGAACCCCUUAGCAGCCCGGGACUUCUGUUUCUACGACCAGUUUCUGUUAGACGCAGUGAUGGAGGGAGAACCAGCAGUGCAUGAAUUCUCCGGGUCUUAUCUCUCUGCCCACACAGUCAUGACUCUCUGCCACACAGUCAUGAGCGAGGAGAAGAGCGAGGGAGAGCUUCUGUAUAAGGCUCAGUCUCCAGAUGAGGGGGCGUUAGUAACAGCUGCACGCAACUUUGGCUUUGUGUUUCGCUCUCGCACACCUGGCACAGUCACCACACAAGAGCUCGGCAAAGCCGUCACAUACACACUCCUCGCCAUCCUGGACUUCAAUAACAUCCGCAAAAGAAUGUCUGUCAUAGUUAGGAAUCCAGAGGGCCGUAUUCGUCUGUACUGUAAGGGCGCAGACACUGUGCUUUUUGAGAGGCUUCACUCUUGCAACCAUGAACUAAUGAAUGUCACUUCAGACCACCUCAACGAGUAUGCAGGUGAUGGCUUACGGACACUCGCAGUGGCCUAUCGGGAUCUGUCUGAGGAGCAGUGGGAGGAGUGGUCAGAGCAUUUCCGUGGUGCUGAUAAAGCCACAGACUGCAGAGAUGACCGGCUGGCUGCAGCCUAUGAGGAGAUCGAACAGGACAUGAUGUUGUUGGGGGCCACGGCUAUAGAAGAUAAACUGCAAGAGGGGGUUCCUGAGACUAUCGCUAUUCUCUCACUGGCUAACAUUAAGAUCUGGGUGCUUACUGGAGACAAACAGGAGACUGCGGUGAAUAUUGGUUAUUCAUGUAAAAUGCUGACAGAUGACAUGACGGAGAUCUUCAUUGUUAAUGGACACACUGUCCAAAGCGUACGUGAAGAACUGAGGUACAAUGGUGAUGUUUGUCCAGUAUGUAAAGCAAGAGAGCGAAUGCUGGAAUCCACACGCUCCGCCCCCUCUUUAUUGGAGUCGAUCAGUGGAGAGUUCGCCCUCAUCAUCAGCGGACACAGCUUGGCUCAUGCUUUGGAAGCAGAUAUGGAGCGUGAGUUUUUGGAGACGGCGUGUGCUUGUCGAGCAGUGAUCUGCUGCAGAGUGACUCCUCUUCAGAAAGCUCUGGUGGUGGAGCUGGUUAAACGGCAUAAGAAAGCUGUCACACUCGCAAUCGGAGAUGGAGCCAAUGACGUCAGCAUGAUAAAGACGGCUCACAUUGGCGUGGGCAUCAGCGGACAGGAGGGGAUCCAGGCUGUGCUGGCAUCAGAUUACUCUUUUUCCCAGUUUCGCUUCCUGCAGCGUCUUUUGCUGGUGCACGGACGCUGGUCCUAUCUGCGCAUGUGCCGUUUUCUCUGUUACUUCUUCUACAAGAACUUUGCCUUCACUAUGGUGCACUUCUGGUUCGGAUUCUUCUGUGGAUUCUCAGCGCAGGUAGGAUUUAUUCUGAUACUUCAUCACUCUUUACACACUCUUUACAAUAUCGUAUACACAUCCCUGCCUGUGUUGGCCAUGGGCAUCUUCGAUCAGGAUGUUCCUGAACAGAGGAGUCUGGAGUAUCCAAAGCUGUAUGAGCCGGGUCAGCUAAACUUGCUGUUUAACAAGCGCGAGUUCUUCAUCUGCAUCGCACAGGGAAUCUACACGUCUGUGGUUCUCUUCUUCAUUCCCUACGGCGUUCUCUCUCACGCCACACAGAGCAAUGGAGUCCCGCUGGCAGACUAUCAAACUUUUGCUGUAACAACAGCAACGGCCCUUGUCAUCGUUGUCAGCGUCCAAAUUGCUCUGGACACAGGUUAUUGGACGGCUAUAAAUCACUUCUUUAUUUGGGGAUCUUUGGGUACCUACUUCACUAUCCUCUUCGCUAUGCACUCCAGCAUUCUGUUCAAUAUCUUCCCCAAACAGUUCCAUUUCCUUGGAAGUGCUCAUAACACACUCGGACAGCCAGUGGUGUGGUUAACUAUUGCUCUUGCUACCGUCAUCUGCAUUGCUCCAGUCCUUGCUUUCCGCUUUCUCAAACUGGACCUUAAACCUCAGCUCUCAGAUACUGUGCGCCACACUCAACUUGUGCUGCAGAAAAAGCGGAAGCCUGGUGGUCGUGCUGGUCGUGGAGUGGGUGGAUCUCGACGCUCUGGUUAUGCGUUUGCGCAUCAGGAGGGCUUCGGCGAGCUGAUCACAUCGGGAAAAAAUAUGCGCCUGAGCUCGCUUGCUCUCGCCACAUUCGCUUCUCGCCACAGCAGCAGUUGGAUCGAUACCCUUCGCAGAAAAAAACACGCAAACAGCCCUGGUGCGCAAAACACCCCGCCCACUGGAGAAAACAGCACCACCUCCCCUCAAGCUCCACCCCUUUCCACGUCUUCCUCAGCAGCAGGCGAGGCAGAGCAACAAAGUAAUGAACCUGUCCUCGCUCACAGCCCUGAUGAAAUUGCUCUCAGUGCUAUUAGGUGUACAGUAAGAGAGGUCGGAGAAUGUAGUACAGCAACUGUGCAGGUAAAUAUACAUCUGAAAACAAGUUCAAGCACAAAUUACAUGCAGAUACAUCACACAUGCAAGUCAACAUGCACAAGUAUAGUUUGUUAUUCAACACUGGACAGAGCGUUGAUUCUGUAG